rnacentral:rRNA from 1 species
GACGAACGCUGGCGGCGUGCCUAAUACAUGCAAGUCGACCUUAGUUGCGAACGGGUGAGUAACACGUGGGUAACCUGCCCCUCAGAAGGGGAUAACACUUGGAAACAGGUGCUAAUACCGUAUACUGAUGGAUGGACCCGCGGGGCAUUAGCUAGUUGGUGAGGUAACGGCUCACCAAGUCCACGAUGCAUAGGCGACGUGAGAGGGGGAUAAGCCACAUUGAGACUGAGACACGGCCCAAACUCCUACGGGAGGCAGCAGAAGGGAAUCUGAGACAAUGGAAGAAAGUCUGACCGAGGAACGCCGAGUGAGUGAAGAAGGUGUUCGGAUCGUAAAACUCUGUUAUUAGAGAAGCGGUAUCUAACCAGAAAGCCAGGGCUAACUACGUGCCAGCAGCCGCGGUAAUUC